ncrna:Rattus norvegicus (Norway rat) microRNA rno-mir-142 precursor
CAGUGCAGUCACCCAUAAAGUAGAAAGCACUACUAACAGCACUGGAGGGUGUAGUGUUUCCUACUUUAUGGAUGAGUGUACUGU